rnacentral:lncRNA from 1 species
GAAGAGCUCCAGGCAAUUAGCAACCCCUGAGAGAUGGGGAGACAGAUUCUUCCUCAGGGAUGAACCCUUAAUUGGUAGAAAUGGUCAGCCCCAGAAACAUGUACACAUGAGCAACAAAAAAAUGGACCCAGCAGCUUAAUGGAGUUGACAACCCUUGCUACGUGAAUUCAUGGAACUCCUUGGCUGUCCCCUGACUCUCUCCACUUUCAAGGAGUUCCUCUUCACUAAUUCAAAAGGUGUUGGGGUCUACACCAGAGGACGAGUCAGGUCUGUCUCUGCCUGAGCUGCUACUCGCCGAAUGGAGACAGGAGCAAAAGUGACUUCAAUUGUUUUGGCCAGAGCAACCAGAGGAGUGAAAUUACUGUUGGCAGAGAAGGGGAAGACAGCCAGAAAAAAACACUGAGACGUCGGUAGCUAAGAAGGACAAUGGGAACGCCCCUGGGAACCUGAAGAGAAGCAAGAGGAGCCUAUAAAGGAGAUAGCUCGAAAGGAGGCUAUGAAGACAAAGGAGAAUGUCUGAGAUUUCCAUUUGAACUACCACAGUAGCCUCAGCUUUUAAAAGUAUCUCUCACAUCUCUCCAUAACUCUGUUUUCCAUGACUGGUCGGGCCGUACCCACAUUUCUGUCUUGGCAUCACUCGUGUGGGUAUUGCUCUAUAGCGCAGCGCUGAGCGCCGGGGAUGCUGUGUCGGACUCUCAGAACUUAAAUCUUGGUUUCCCGACUUGGUGUCUUCUGGCCCGAGAAGAUUGUUUAAGUUCUCGGCCUCUCUUUGCUCAUCUGAAAAUGAGUAAUUGUCUUUCCCCGCCGUGGGUGUCCUGGGGAUUAUGUAAGAUAACGCAUGUGAAGCAAACAGUAAUUAUUAGAGUUUAUUUUUAUUACCGUCACCCUCUUCAUCCUCCAUGAGGACAUAAGUUUUCCAAGGGACAGCGCUAUUAUGUUUAUCUUGUGGGCCUAAUGAUUUCUUGUAUACCGUAGGUUUUUAAUAAGUGUUUCGAGGGAUAGAGUCCAGAUUCAAACAGUUCUCGGUGUGUUGCAAGUGGCCGGUGGACUUCUCGGAAAAUCACCUCUUCUUGAAAAGCUGGGAACUGAGCACACUGUCUUUGAAGGCACUGUCAAGUGUCAGCACUUGCUAGAUUGGAUUGUGCUGUCCUAAGAUCUUCCCAGGGUGCAUUUAGGAAGCUGGCAGGGAACCUGGAAGCACGAGGAGAUUCACGGCCUUGGAAGUCAGAUGACCGAAGUUCUCAACAGGGUCUGGGGAGAAAUCCAUCGUUCCAGGUCCUUCUGUGUCACAUUCUGGUGACUUGCUUUUUCAAUGCCGUGUAGUCAAACAGAGACACAGCAAAAAAAUUAGUUAGGCAACUCAUUUCUAUUAUUAUUUUAGAGAGGCUUUAUGAAUGGACUAGGCCUUUACUAAGUUGAAUU